CUCAAUUGCCAUUUGAAAUUACAUGCGAAAUGAGAGAAUACAGAAAAACGAUGAAAACGAUGAUGCCUCUUAAAAUCCCGAAAUCUAUGUUUCUCCGACUGUAAAUUGAACCAGAGACGAGGAGAAAAGCGGAAAAUAUAAUGUACCAAUGUUGUACCUGCUU